rnacentral:rRNA from 1 species
AGCGGUGUGGAUUAGGCAUGCAAGUCGCGCGCGAAAGCCUUCGGGUGAGUAAAGCGGCGAAAGGGUGAGUAACACGUAACCAACGUACCCCUUAGAUCGGAAUAACUGCUGGAAACGGCAGGUAAUGCCGAAUGGUCCUGGUCGUUUGCAUUUACGACUAGGUAAACGGUGGCUUUGCUGCUGCUAGGGGAGCGGGUUGCGGCCUAUCAGCUUGUUGGUGAGGUAACGGCUCACCAAGGCUUCGACGGGUAGCGGGUCUGAGAGGAUGAUCCGUCACACUGGGACUGAGACACUGCCCAGACUCCUACGGGAGGCUGCAGUCGAGAAUCUUCCGCAAUGGGCGAAAGCCUGACGGAGCGACACCGCGUGCAGGAUGAAGGCCUUAGGGUUGUAAACUGCUGUCACGCAAUAGGAAUUCCCAUUCGUUAAUAGCGUAUGGGUUGACCACAGCGAGAGGAAGAGCCGGCUAACUCCGUGCCAGCAGCCGCGGUAAGACGGAGGGCUCUAACGUUGCUCGGAAUCAUUGGGCAUAAAGCGCACGUAGGCGGCCUGCUAAGUCGGGUGUGAAAUCCCUCGGCUCAACCGGGGAACUGCAUCCGAUACUGGCAGGCUAGAGGACGGGAGGGGUGAGUGGAACUCCAGGUGGAACGGUGAAAUGUGUAGAUAUCUGGAGGAACACCGGUGGCGAAAGCGGCUCACUGGCCCGUAUCAGACGCUGAGGUGCGAAAGCUAGGGUAGCGAACGGGAUUAGAUACCCCGGUAGUCCUAGCCGUAAACUAUGGGCACUAGGUAGUGGUUUGGCCUGUACGAAUCACUGCCGUAGCAAAUGUGUUAAGUGCCCCGCCUGGGGAGUACGCUCGCAAGGGUAAAACUCAAAGGAAUUGACGGGGGAUCACACAAGCGGUGGAGCAUGUGGUUUAAUUCGAACCUACGCGAAGAACCUUACCUGGCCUUGACAUGCACGGAUUAGCUCUGUGAAAGCAGAGUGACGGCCCUUCGGGGUUGGAACGUGCACAGGUGUUGCAUGGCUGUCGUCAGCUCGUGCCGUGAGGUGUUGGGUUAAGUCCCGUAACGAGCGAAACCCUUGUCGUUAGUUGCCAGCGGGUAAUGCCGGGGACUCUAGCGAGACUGCCGUUGUCAAAACGGAGGAAGGUGGGGACGACGUCAAGUCAUCAUGGCCCUUAUGGCCAGGGCGACACACGUGCUACAAUGGUCGGUACAAAGGGUUCCAAGGCCGCGAGGUCAAGGCAAUCCCAAAAAGCCGACCCCAGUUCGGAUUGCAGGCUGCAAUUCGCCUGCAUGAAGCCGGAAUCGCUAGUAAUCGCGUAUCAGCCAUGACGCGGUGAAUAUGUUCCUGAUCCUUGUACACACCGCCCGUCAAGCCACGGAAGCGGGGAGCGCUCGAAGUCGCUAUGUCCAACCGUAAGGAGGGCGGCGCCGAAAGCGAGCUCCGUGACUGGGACUAAGUCGAAACAAGGUA